AAAUGCUUUCAAUCAUUAAGGAUAGUGUACAAAACUUUGCACAGUUUAUGCAAACCAAAAAUAUGUAGUAUAUUAUUAUUGUUACCCGAUAAAUGAAAUCACCUUCCCCAAUUUUGCCCAGACGGCCGCUUUUGCCCAUCUGGAGUGCUCAACUUCCAUAUUCCCUUCCCUUUUGUAGUUUCCCAUUUCUCACGCAUGGAAUCAAUCUGAACUCCAUCUUUAGUCCUUCCCAUGCCAAAGCUGUGAAGUGUGAACUAGUACUAUACUUUUAACUUAUUUGUGGUUCAGCUACUCCUCACCCUUCCUCCUAGAAUUCAAAAACAUGGCUCCCCCAAGAAAUAGACGCAGAAAGGUUGGUUCGAUGAGAAUUGAUGCCGCAUUGGAUUCUAUGCGUCCGAUGGGGUUCCCGGAUGAUGUUGUUCGCAAAUCCAUCAAAGACUUGCUCAAGGUUUAUGGGGAGGAUGGAUGGAUUUUCAUUGAGGAGGCUUCUUACAAGCUCCUCAUUGAAACGAUUAUUGAAGGACAGCAAGAAGGCAGAGCAGGAAGAGAUGAUGGAAGUGGGAGUGGUGAAAAAUCUGGAUCACUAGAAGAGAUGUGUGAUAAGGAAGAGCGCUGCCAGGAACAAAAGUGUCUACCAGUGGAGAUUGAUGCUGAGAAAAGUCCAAGCAAAAAUUCUCAGACCCACCAUCAUUUCAUUUCCAAGGAUGACUCUGGGCAACCUCAACUCGGUCCACCGGUGGACUUUGCUCCAACUUAUUCUCCCAUGGACCGUGUACCGACUAACCAAACACAAAAACCAUCUUGUGGAUGGCUCGAUGCUGAUGAUGAGGAAGAUUAGUUUCUAUCGCUGCCUCCUGGUAAUGGUGCUAUUCCAAAAUGAUGUGGUCAAUGGACAAAUUGCCAAUUAUGAUCUUCUGCAGUUUCGCUUUGCAGAUAUCUCUAACCCAAACUGAUGUUACUAGUUAACUACUACGCAAACUUUAGAUAUUGGUGGUUAUAGAUGCGCUAAUUACUGGCGCACCAUCAUCUACAGCUGUAAAUAUGACAUCUUGCACCAGAAGUGCAGAACGGCUUAUUGGACAUGUUAUAAUCCUGGAUUACAUACGUGGUUGGUUAAGUCUCUCGUUCCCCCGCGGACCAUAGGUACUUGGCAGAGCCCCAAAGGUAAUUUUGUUGGAGAUUACACUUUCCUGAUUACGAUGUUAAAAACUAGGAGGCAAAUAGUAAACGACGCUGGGCAUAUGCUUUGAAGCUUUUCAUAUUGUACUUGUCAUGUAUAUAAUCUAGGCGUCUUGUUUUCCCCUUUUGCUCCCCACUAGAGCUAUUUAAUGCAGGGAAAAUUUUUUUGCCAAUGGUUACUGUGAAGAUCACCACCACUGUCUUCUUAUUUAGAGGGGUGAAAACAAGGAAGAAGCUGAAACGAAAUACAUCAACUAGUACUCCUUCAAGAAAAAAGAGAAAAACUACGAAGAAAACGUGCUUGGCACAAAAAGGAAAAAGAAGGGACCAGAAGUUUUAUCAAUUCUUUGUCCUUUUGUAAAAAGUGAAGUGAGCUAAUUUUAUUCCAUAUAAGAAGGAUAUGAAGUUGGAUCAACUCUUUCUUGCUUCUCAUUUGUGGCUGGAGAAGAAUUAGCAUGUUGGCCCUCUAGGAUUUGUGAUGCCAGCUGAUACACAUAACCUUUGUGAAUUCAGCAAAUGCU